GAUGAACGCUGGCGGCGUGCUUAACACAUGCAAGUCGAACGAAGCACUUUAUUUGAUUUCCUUCGGGACUGAUUAUUUUGUGACUGAGUGGCGGACGGGUGAGUAACGCGUGGGUAACCUGCCUUGUACAGGGGGAUAACAGUUGGAAACGGCUGCUAAUACCGCAUAAGCGCACAGCAUCGCAUGAUGCAGUGUGAAAAACUCCGGUGGUAUAAGAUGGACCCGCGUUGGAUUAGCUAGUUGGUGAGGUAACGGCCCACCAAGGCGACGAUCCAUAGCCGACCUAAUAGGGUGACCGGCCACAUUGGGACUGAGACACAGCCCAAACUCCUACGGGAGGCAGCAGUGGGGAAUAUUGCACAAUGGGCGAAAGCCUGAUGCAGCGACGCCGCGUGAGCGAAGAAGUAUUUCGGUAUGUAAAGCUCUAUCAGCAGGGAAGAUAAUGACGUUACCUGACUAAGAAGCACCGGCUAAAUACGUG
rnacentral:rRNA from 1 species